UACGGAGGGUGCGAGCGUUGUCCGGAAUCACUGGGCGUAAAGGGCGCGUAGGUGGCCUGUGGAAGUCUGCGGUGAAAGCCCGGCGCUCAACGCCGGGUCGGCCGUGGAUACUCUCGGGCUCGAGCUUACUAGAGGCAGAUGGAAUUCCGGGUGUAGCGGUGGAAUGCGUAGAGAUCCGGAAGAACACCGGUGGCGAAGGCGGCCUGCUGGGCAGUAGCUGACGCUGAGGCGCGACAGCGUGGGGAGCAAACAGG
rnacentral:rRNA from 1 species